GACGAACGCUGGCGGCGUGCCUAAUACAUGCAAGUCGAACGCAGUGGGGACGGGUGAGUAACACGUGGGUAACCUCCCAUCAGAGGGGAUAACCCUUGGAUAAAGGUGCUAAACCGAUACGGAUUGAUGGACCCGCGGUGCAUUAGCUAGUGGGGGGGGUAAAGGCUUACCAAGGCCACGAUGCAUAGCCGACCGGAGAGGGUGAUCGGCCACACUGGGACUGAGACACGGCCCAGACUCCUACGGGAGGCAGCAGUAGGGAAUCUUCGGCAAUGGACGAAAGUCUGACCGAGCAACGCCGCGUGAGUGAAGAAGGUUUUAGGAUCGUAAAACUCUGUUGGUAGAGAAGCGGUAUCUAACGAGAAAGCCACGGCUAACUACGUGCCAGCCGCCGCGGUAAUUC
rnacentral:rRNA from 1 species